UUCACAUAUCUUGUGGAAUUGACUUUCCAAAGGUAAAUUCUUUUGUUCUCUGGUAUGCUGAUUGUUAACCACAUUGAAUUCAAAUGGUAAUUGUCUCGUUCGUCUUGCUUUACCUUUUCUUCUCUUUUUCAAGGGAAAUAGGAAAACAGUUUAAGAGCUUAUCCUUUUUAACUUUUAAUCGGCUUGGAUGUGGGUAAUGUGCCACUUUUUAAUCACUUGGUUAUAAAGACAUCACAAGAGAUCAGUUUUGUGCAUAAUCUUUUUUUUUUGACACUUUUAGCUCAGUCGAAAUGUUUCUAAUAUGUGCUUGAAGUUGCUGUGUAUUCUAGGGGCUUUGGGAUGUAGAAAACGACAAUGAUAGCCAACAAGAAGGCUGCGUUUUGCGGGUUAUAUCCCAGUUUUAGUCAUUCUAUCUAAAAUGUUCUUUGCAGAAAUUCAUAUGUUGGCAAUCUUUCUCUUUUCUAUGAAAUAGAGGAGAAGCUUAAGCAGGGUCACAACGUUGUACUUAUAUCAAACCAUCAUACUGAAGCUGACCCAAUCAUCAUCUCAUUGUUGCUUGAGAAAGCAAAUCCGCAUAUUGCUGAGAACAUGGUGAUUCUCUCUUGAAUUAAUUUCUCAUUCUGAGCCUGCUGUAGUAGCCUUCAUCUAUGCCCUUGAGGCCUUGACUGUACUUGGGUUCUGUGGUUGCAAUAACUGCCGGGAUGGUACAUAGCAUGGCUAUUACUGAAGAUGGAGCAUUAUUUUAUUGGGUUUCCUCAGAUCCUCAUCUUAGAUGCCAACAGGUUCUAUUCCAUUGUCUUUGUUGAUUUUAACUUCCCCUGGAGUGAAGCUUUUAUUUACUUCAUUUGGAUGAAUUUGUACAACUAUAUUCCCUUUGUGAGAAAACAAUCGUAAGCAUUUCUGCUGGUAAGUACUGGGCUGCUACUGCUACUGCUACAUGUGGGAUGGCAAGAAAAGUAUGGAAAAGCCACCUGUUGCAACUCGGUUACACCGAGUUAAGGGAAAAAAGAUCCCUUAAAGAGUUGAUUUUGAGAGUUGGUCAUGAGAGAAUGUAACUUGUAAACAAUUUUCUAAUAUAGAAUGUAACUUGUAAACAGAACUUAUGUAAUUCUAAUGUAAUUCUAAUAUAGAAUGUAAACAAUUUUCUUAUGUAAUUCUAAUAUAGAAUGUAACUUGUUUUAA